rnacentral:rRNA from 1 species
UACAGAGGUCUCAAGCGUUGUUCGGAUUCAUUGGGCGUAAAGGGUGCGUAGGUGGCGCUGUAAGUCGGGUGUGAAAUUUCGGAGCUUAACUCCGAAACUGCAUUCGAUACUGCGGUGCUUGAGGACUGGAGAGGAGACUGGAAUUCAUGGUGUAGCAGUGAAAUGCGUAGAGAUCAUGAGGAAGACCAGUGGCGAAGGCGGGUCUCUGGACAGUUCCUGACACUGAGGCACGAAGGCCAGGGGAGCAAAUGGG